rnacentral:rRNA from 1 species
CCUACGGGUGGCUGCAGUGGGGAAUAUUGGACAAUGGGCGAAAGCCUGAUCCAGCCAUGCCGCGUGUGUGAAGAAGGCCUUCGGGUUGUAAAGCACUUUCAGUGGGGAAGAAAGCCUUGGGGCUAAUACCCUCGAGGAAGGACAUCACCCACAGAAGAAGCACCGGCUAACUCCGUGCCAGCAGCCGCGGUAAUACGGAGGGUGCGAGCGUUAAUCGGAAUUACUGGGCGUAAAGCGCGCGUAGGCGGUCUGAUAAGCCGGUUGUGAAAGCCCCGGGCUCAACCUGGGAACGGCAUCCGGAACUGUCAGGCUAGAGUGCAGGAGAGGAAGGUAGAAUUCCCGGUGUAGCGGUGAAAUGCGUAGAGAUCGGGAGGAAUACCAGUGGCGAAGGCGGCCUUCUGGACUGACACUGACGCUGAGGUGCGAAAGCGUGGGUAGCAAACAGGAUUAGCUACCCCAGUAGUC